rnacentral:rRNA from 1 species
GACAGAGGGUGCAAACGUUGCUCGGAAUUACUGGGCGUAAAGCGCGCGUAGGCGGCUUUGUAAGUUAGAGGUGAAAGCCCGGAGCUUAACUCCGGAACUGCCUUUAAGACUGCAUCGCUAGAAUCGUGGAGAGGUGAGUGGAAUUCCGAGUGUAGAGGUGAAAUUCGUAGAUAUUCGCAAGAACACCAGUGGCGAAGGCGGCUCACUGGCCCGAUACUGACGCUGAGGUGCGAAAGCGUGGGGAGCAAACAGG